GGGGAAUCUUGCGCAAUGGGCGAAAGCCUGACGCAGCCAUGCUGCGUGAAUGAUGAAGGUCUUAGGAUUGUAAAAUUCUUUCACCGGGGACGAUAAUGACGGUACCCGGAGAAGAAGCCCCGGCUAACUUCGUGCCAGCAGCCGCGGUAAUACGAAGGGGGCUAGCGUUGCUCGGAAUUACUGGGCGUAAAGGGCGCGUAGGCGGAUCGUUAAGUCAGAGGUGAAAUCCCAGGGCUCAACCCUGGAACUGCCUUUGAUACUGGCGAUCUUGAGUAUGAGAGAGGUAUGUGGAACUCCGAGUGUAGAGGUGAAAUUCGUAGAUAUUCGGAAGAACACCAGUGGCGAAGGCGACAUACUGGCUCAUUACUGACGCUGAGGCGCGAAAGCGUGGGGAGCAAAC
rnacentral:rRNA from 1 species